GCCUGGGUGGCUCAGUCGGUUGAGCAGCCGACUUCGGCUCAGGUCAUGAUCUCAUGGUUUGUGGGUUCGAGCCCCGCGUUGGGCU
rnacentral:tRNA from 1 species